GACGAACGCUGGCGGCGUGCCUAAUACAUGCAAGUCGAACGCAGUGGGGACGGGUGAGUAACACGUGGGUACCCUCCCAUAAGAGGGGAUAACACUUGGAAACAGGUGCUAAACCGAUACUGAUGGAUGGACCCGCUGUGCAUGAGCUAGGUGGUGGGGUAACGGCUCACCAAGGCAAAGAUGCAUAGCCGACCUGAGAGGGUGAUCGGCCACACUGUGACUGAGACACGGCCCAGACUCCUACGUGAGGCAGCAGUAGGGAAGCUUCGGCAAUGGACGAAAGUCUGACCGAGCAACGCGGCGUGAGUGAAGAAGGUGUUCGGAUCGUAAAAUUCUGUUGUUAGAGAAGCGGUAUCUAACCAGAAAGCCACGGCUAACUAUGUGCCAGCAGCCGCGGUAAUUC
rnacentral:rRNA from 1 species